GCAAGUCGAACGAGAACGGAUAUUAGCUUGCUAAUAUUGUCAGCUAAGUGGCGCACGGGUGAGUAAUAUAUAGGUAACGUGCCCCAAAGAAGAGGAUAACAGUUGGAAACGACUGCUAAUACUCUAUAUGCCUUUAUCACAGAAGUGAGCAAGGGAAAUAUUUAUAGCUUUGGGAUCGGCCUGUACAGUAUCAGAUAGUUGGUGAGGUAAUGGCUCACCAAGGCAAUGAUGCGUAACUGGUCUGAGAGGAUGAUC
rnacentral:rRNA from 1 species